ACGUCCACAUAAGACGUCCACAUCAGCCGAAAAAACUUCUUCUAAAAGAUGACACGUGGCAUUAACAAAAAAUAAAAAUUAAAUAUACAUAUAAAGAAAAAUAAAUACUAAAUAAAUAUAUAAGAUAACAAAUAGAAAUAUUACAUUAAACAAUAAUAAGUAAAUAUACAAUAUAAGGAAAAUAAAUAAAAAGUGAAUAUACAAUAUAAGAAAUAGAAAUAUUAUAUUAAACAUCUAUCAUAAUUUAUCAUCUGAUAUAAAAGCAAAAAUCUAUACUAAUAAAAGGGAGCUUGUGAGGCUCCAUAGGACGUCCACAUCAGCGGAAAAAACUUCUUCUAAAAGUGUCAAAAAUCUAUACUAAUAAAAAAGAGCUUUUGAGGCUCCAUAGGGCGUCCACAUCAGCGGAAAAAACUUCUUCUAAAAGAUGACAUGUGGCAUUAACAAAAAAUAAAAAAUAAGCACACAUAUAAAGAAAAUAAAUACUAAGUAAAUAUAUAAUAUAAGAAAUAGAAAUAUUACAUUAAACAAUAAUAAGUAAAUAUAUAAUAUAAAAAACAAUAUAAGAAAUAGAAAUAUUACAUUAAACAUCUAUCAUAAUUUAUCAUCUGAUAUAAAAGCAAGAAAAUUAGAAUACGUAAAUAUAUAAUUAAAAAAUGAAAAACACUAAAUUAAACAUAUAUAUGAAAAAUGUAUUUAUACUAAUAAAAAAGAGCUUUUGAGGUUCCAUAGAACAUCCACAUCAGCGGAAAAAAACUUCUUCUAAAAGAUGACACGUGACAUUAAUAAAAAAAUAAAAAAUAAAUCUAUAUAUAUAAAGAAGUGUUUAUAUCCUUCCUAGGCCAUCCACGUCAUCCGCCAGCUAGGAAAGUCGAGCAAGGAGACGGCACCACGUGUCCAUGUAACUAAGGUUUUCAGUUUCAUUUAAUCUAGGCGUGAUGGGCUUAGAUGUUUAUGUGGGAAUGGGCUUAAGACUUGGUAUCCUCUAACCCUAAUUCAUCCGCAAAGGCUCUCCUCUUCCUGCGACGAAAACGCGAUGCCUUUUGUGAUUCUUCUCACCAUUUUGAACGGUCUGCGUAAAGGCUUCGUGAUUAAUAACAUUGAUUCGCUCUCCCACUACGUCGUCAUCAAUGCUUUUUUUAUAUCUAAUAGGCGGUGAUCUCUGUAUAAAUAUGUUGAGCUCCGGUGGAUUGAAAUGGUAGGUGGAUUGCUUAGUUAGCUUCUUGAGUAGUGAAGAUUGAGCGGCGAGGAAAGCAGCAGCCGAAGCCUUAGGGAGGUUAUCCACGGCGGAAAGAAAUGAUUUUGGAGAAAGUCUUUGAAGAUCUUCAAAAGCAAGAUAUACGACAAGGUGAAAGCUGUGAGAGAAGUGAUGAACCAGAUGAUGGAGGCAUGGAAACAAGUCUGAGAUUUAUCAGAAGAGGUUUCUCAGCCAAGAUCUAAUGUUUCUUCUAAAGAACUGAAAAAUAAGGGUUUUUGUUCAGCACUGGAUAUGAAAGGUCUUUAAAAGCAUUAAGUGUUUAAGGCAGGGGAAGAAGAUUUUGGACGAGAGAUGGAUCAGUUUGAAGCAUAACGCCAAGCUGAGUUUGAGCUUCUUCAGAUUGGUCAAGAACAAGAGGGUAUCUAUUCCAAGCUCAUGAGAAGAGGGCCUUCGCUAUUUGGUUUACUAAGCUUACCAAGUUUGUCUCAGCAGGGUCCGUGAAUACAACACUGACUGAGUUGUUUAGGUUCAGUAGUUGAAGAACUCUGGCAAGUGGCAACUACAAAAUAAAUUCUUUUUUUUUCAUUAUUGAUCUGUAACAGACGAAAGAAACUCGCCAUUAGAGUAACAAAGAAAAGUGUACUUAUGUUAAAAAUUCUAUGUUACGGCUUUAAAUAUGUUUUGUUUAUGUCAUAAUGAAACUUGUGGUUAGUAGGUUCUUGGUGAUAAGCCAUACAACAUAUUUGAAAAAAAAAACAAUAGCGGUGGUGUAUUUUCGGUUUUUAUUUUCCUAUAAUAUUACUAAAUUGAACUUAACUUGCGUUUUACUAUUUUGAGAUGAUAAUUUCUGCUGGAAUUGUGUUGUAACUCUUUGUUGUUGAUGUUUUUUGGAUGCAACUGUUGUUAUAUUAUUAGCCGUUUGAUUCAGCAUAAUGUGUUGCAUAUUAUGGGAGAAAUUAUUUUAUUUAUUUAAUUAAAUUUUAAAUUAUUUCGGAUAACAUAUUUAAUUAAAGUAAAUUUAUAUUUUUUGGUAGUUUUUAUUUUAAGAAACCGUAAGUAUUUUUUUUUUGUAGAGUUAACCAUAGAGUUUUUGUUUUAGUGUAAUAUACAUGGAGUUUUCCGCCUAAAGAUAACCACAAUGUGCUCUGUUUAUAUAUGCUGUAAUCAUCAUGCAGCCUUUAUUGUAACGUUCGAACACGCCAACGCUUGCAAAGCUUAUAAAACAUACAGUCUAUGAGUUUUAAAUUACAACAAAAUUAAGAUUACAGCUGAAUUACUUAGCAUGUAAUUUUGAAAUCUUUCAAAUUUAUUAAUGUACAAUUACCCUAAAUUGCAUGGUCAUAAUAAAUCGGUUUUUUGGUGACGUUGGAAUGUCUAAUUUACCAAACUUCCAUUCAAGUUCAGAGGAUGAUAUACCAAAAGCAUGAAUUAAUAAUAGUAUUUUACCGUAAACAUGUAUUAUAUUAGUACAUGACAGUUUAGUAUAAACAAAAUAAAUUAUUAGAAUAAGCUCGGUUUAACAAAUAUUCCAGUAUAUUAGUUCAUAGUAACAGAUUUGUCACUGUUAUCAUGCGAAGACAGAACAGUAAGAAUGUGGUUAACAUUCUCAUAAACUAAUGGGAGGCUUGCACGUCAGCAACGAAAACUCAUCCGGUCACAGAUAAGUUGCAAAGCUCCAAACCAAGACAUACAAUACCACCAAACCUAACAGAGUAAAAAUGAAACAGAUUGAAUUCAAAUAAAAAACAACAGCCAAAUUCGUGAAAGAUUCAAAUCCAAAAAAACUAAAAUGUUCAAACAUCAAACAUUAGGUAAAAAACAUUAGGUAGAGACAACAUAGAUUAUAAGAAAGAUAGUUUAAUGUUUCAAAAACAAAGUCUGAGAUUUAAAAAAAAAAACAAAGCAUAGAGUUUAGUAACCAUAAAAACCAACACUUAACACAUCCUAGCCACUUAUGGCUCGCUUGGGAUCUUCUGCCUCAACAUUAUCAGCAGCCCUCUUCACACUCCCAAAGCAUGUGGAAGGAUCAUCAUCAGCAACUUCCUUCUGCAAAGUUUCCUGUGUGUCUGGUACAGCCACGUUUCCUUCUAGAUUGGCUUUAGCUUCUGGAACUUCUGGAGUGAGCACAUUUGUCACAGUCAAAGCUUGGGUCUUGCCAGUCAAAUUGUGAUCUGACACCUUCACAACGAAUUUGCGAGUCUGUCCUAUGGUAUCUAUAAGAGCUUGAGGUACUGGAACCAAGUGAUCAUCUCCUACAUUCUCAUUGGCCUAACAUACAGUAAUCAAUUGUCACUAUAUACCUAUAAUUAUCUUGGAAAAUAAAGUUAUAAAUAACAAAGGCCCACAGGUUUGUAAUUACCUCGAAAUACUUCUCAACCAACUCAGAAGCUUUCUUUCCAGAUAACUCAUGUCCAGCACCACCAAGGAGCACAAAAGUCGCUUGAUCAUCAUUAUCAUACACGGUGAUCUUGGCCAGGUACCUGUGUCAUGAGCAGAGUAAGAAUGGUGCAUUGAAGUAUGAGUUUAAGUAGAUCUGAGUCACUUACUGUGCAACACCAACAAUAUCGGUUUUCCCACAUUUCUUACACAUAAGGCUGGUAGGCCCUUUGGUUGCCUUAGUGUGGCACCCACCACAGCCUAUGUAAUACCAUGAUGAACCGUGCGCAACAUCACCAAUGGUUGCUAUGCACUCAAACCAAGCAACCUGCAAAAUGUUAAACGAUUAAAUAAGAAACUAAGACUACCAUAUUAAAUGUGUUACCAAUUGGUACUGAACAACCUUGGCAUCUUCCUGCUUCAUAUAGGAAAAGAGCUCGCCUAUGGUCACUGUCUCAGUCUUGGUGACAAUGUCUGCAUCAACUCUGUUAGCAACAUCUAGGUUCGUGUUCAUCCUGAAGCCAACGUACAAACAUCAAAAACAAUGAUGGAAUAACAACUAACAAUUUUAAAUAAAGGAAAGCUUACCAAGUGAGAUAAUCUCGGGUUGCUUGGACAUCAGUGUCCAAAAACACACGUGAUGGCGUCAUAGAGGAGAGAGCUAAGGCACCUAUAACAGAUCGAUUGUUAUAAUACAAAUGAAAAUUUAUAAUGUAAAAUGGGUUGUAGGAUUUGUCAUAACCGAGCCUAUCGGUUACUAAUAGCCAAUAAGAUCCAAUUUCUACCAAAUGUCAGUUCUAUUACUCAAAGCUAACCUAACCAGAUUUCCCUGACCAUCUUAUAUACUUCUAAGAAAUAAGAAAAAUGUGCUAAUACAAACCUCCAAGUCGUUUUGGGUUUAAGGUAGUGACUAAAAUAACACGUGCUGUUCCUCCAGAUGCUUUAAAUUUCUCACUAAAGUUGGUGCCAGCCUUGUCCCAUAGGUACAACUUCAUCACCGGACCGCUAUAACAUAAAAAAAAACACAUGUGAUAAGAGAGACAACACAUGAAUAUGAAAAUAAUACAGAUUAGCUUACUCAUGUGUUUGAACAUGAAGCAGAACUCGGCGUGAUGAAGCUAUCUCGGCAUCAUCUAGCACGAGACUGUCACUGAGAACCUGCCCAUUCACAAGCUUGAUAUGGCCAACAUAAUCUGCAAAAUAGAAAAAACAAACUCAAUGCUUUGUAUAUCAUAAACUCAAUGCUUUGUAUAUCAUAAACACAGCAAUUUAUUUUAGAAAUUGUUCAGACAAGAUGCUGAUAAACAUUUUAGAUUCAAACUAUCGUUCUAUUAUUUUGAAUGAAUUUAUAGCAAGUGUUUGCUUUUGUUGAUAUUACAAUAACUAUAAUUUUGUUAUUGAUGCAUUUCCAAGAUCUCCUGUCUAGCAUUUCUGAUUUAAUUUCUUUAAUUAUGAUAACAGGGGACUGUCAUCCAGGGUUUCAUCCCAGCUGGGAGGAUAGCCACUUAUUUGCCACACAUGAGAGCUGGUGACAUUUAUAGGCUCAACAGUUUUUUCGGGUCUAACAACAAGACUUUGUAUCGUGUUGCGGAACCAAGUUUCACCAUCACAUUCUCAUCGACCUCUGUCCUCUCUGAUCUAGAGGACAGUUUGGUAUGUUUCCCUGAGGACCGUUUCCGUUCCAUGGACAUGAGGAGUUUGAUGCUGCCUGCGACUUGAGAGGGGAUCUUUAUGGUAAGUUCUCAAUGUUUUAUAAGAUAAUGUUCAUCUAACUUGGAUCAACCGUUUUAAUUCGAUCAAAUAUAUUUAGAAUUCUUUGUCUAGGAUAGUGUCAUGAUCCAUACUUGCAUAGGAAUACGAACGUUGCAAUCAUCAAAAGAGGCAACUAAACUCCGUACCACAAUCUCAUAUGAUUUUCUAUUUUCUGUAGUAUAAAAAUUAUCUAUUAUUAAAAAAAUUAUUUUGUUAUCCGUACCACAAUCUCAUAUGAUUUUCUAUUUUCUGUAGUAUAAAAAUUAUUUAUUAUAAAAAAAAUAAAUUAUUUUGUUCAUAUCAUUAUUUUAAACCUCAAAGCUUCAGACUCUCUAUUUUUUUUUUGUAAUCUAACGAACUCUACAAUUUCAUAAGGAAACAAUAAGAGUUAUUACCAUUGGGGUUCUUCGAUUUAGGUACGCCGAUCAAGACGCCGGAAGAGACAGCGGUCUUGCCACUGAGUUUGGUCAGACCGGAGGUGACUGACGCUUCGCAUGUGGCUUGCUUCGAGUGGGGAACGCCGAUUGAAUGGCUGGAAGAUAGAUAGGGUGUUCCGAUGGGCUUGAUCGUGCCGGGAGAGGAGUCAGCCUCAACGCCUUUUCGUUUCUCGGAGGUGGAUUUUCUGUUGGAACUCAUUGCAACUGAAGCUUAAUCGAAAUAAGACUCGGAUUAAAAGUUGUAUAAACAAAAUCUGAAGGAGAAAAGGCGGAUUAAGAGUUUUAUAAACAAAAUCGAAAGGAGAAAAGCAAAACGAAUCCAUAAAUGAGAGUAAAGGGAGAACGAAGUGGAGGAUGUAUUGAUUGUUUAGGGCUCAGAUCGCGAAACGGAUCAAAGAAGAGGAAGAGCAAAGGUGAUGAAGAAUCGAUCUGAGUUAGGGUCUGAGAAACGCGUAAGGGAGAGGUCGUUUGGUCCCCGUCUAUGUCGACCAAUGAUCUGAUGGGCUUCAGAAAACACGGUAAGCCCAAUUGUGCUAAACACAUUUGUUUUUUUUUUAAACACGGUAGGCCCAAGAAAGGCAACACAUGUGACAUGGCAAAAAUGUGCUUUCUGAUUGGAUGAUUAAAUUGUCUUACGUGGACAUGCUGGUUGAGGCUGAUAUUCAGCUUUUAUUACUUAUAUAGAUUUAAUGGUUUUAGUUUUGGUUAAUCAAUUUAAUAGAUAAACUGAAACUAAGUAUGAAACCAUUUGUAAUUUAUUUUAGUUUCUGCUCUGAUUAUGACUCUCCCUCAUGUGACUUCUUCAACCCUAUCAUCUCUUCAAUUGUCUUUCAGUUUCCCGUGUGCCGGCAUACUUUUGAUAUAAUUAUCUACUUCAUAUCGUCACUUCUCGAUGGGCUUUCAUUUGCUGGAUAUUUCAUUUCAAACUCAAGAGUUCAUCUCAUGUGGGCUCCUGUGUUCAAGAUUCUAAUCAUCCUGAUUGGGCUAUUUCGAGUUGGAUUUAUUAGUUAGUACUUAUAUGGAUUUCAGUUAAGGGUUAGUAAAAUAACUAUGGUUGGUUUUUGUAAGCUACCUUUGCCAGUUUGCCGCGUUAAUUUUUUUUAUCAAACAUGCCACAUUCAAGUAUAUGCAAGCAAAGUUUCAAAAAAGAAAGAAAGAAGAUUGAGUUUAACGGUUCAAAUGAAGUCUUGACUUCUCGGAUGAGUUGAUAAGGAAGAUGAACCAUAGAAGCCUCCGUAGUUACUGAGCCUGCUGUUAGUAGAUGGGCAUAUUGUUGGGGAAUUGUCCCGAGUGGAUGCACUGCACUGAUUUCAUAAUUUUGAUAAAAACAGACAUAUAUAUAUAUAUAUAUAUAUUAGAUUUCUAUAGGAACAUGCUAAUUAGCAUGAAAAAAAAUGAGAAGGGAACAAAUAUAAAUUCAAUUGUAAAUUCCGGUAGAAAGCAUAUUUUAUUAUCUCCACUGAAGAAAUAAAGUAAUAUUAUUUUGUUGGUGCAUGUUAUGUAAAUGUGUUUUGUUUACUUUCCAGGAAAUAAAAAUAAACACUAUAGGACAACGUUUCUGCAAAAUAAUUCGAUCUUUUGUUUCCUGACAGUUAAAAAUAUAUUUUGCCAAUGAUUAGAAAAAAUAGAGUGUAAAAUUGUUGUUAAUUUUCAAAAAUUUAAAGUUUUUAAUUAUAAUUUAUUUAAUUAAGUGAAAAAAUCCAAAGAAAGAAUUAUAAAGUAUAUUUUUUCUAUAAAUUUAACAUUAAAUUUUAAUUUAUUAAACCAUCAUUUUCUCUCAUUUUAUUUAAUUUUCAAUUCAAACAAAUUUUUAAUAUCAUUUUCGUCGGCAUAUGAUAACAUAGGGAAAAUUCAUAAUCUCUGCAAAAUCGUUUUACAUUUUUUCCCUCACAAUUACAUAAUAUAGUUUGCCAAUGAUUUGAGAAGAGAAAGUGCAAAAUUGUUUUUGAUCUCCUAAAAUCUAAAGUCUUUUAAACAUUAUUUACUAAAUCAAGUAGAAGAAGUCAAAUAAAUUGUUUUUAAAAUAUAUAUAACCCGAAGAACAUACCAAAAUGUUACGAUUCUUUUAUGAUUUUAUGAGAUGAGAAAGUAAAUUAUCUAUUUUCUAAUGACAUUUAGUUUAAUUUAUCAUAUACAAGUGAAAUUUAUCGUGAUAAUAUAUAAACAAGGAAUAACAUCUGUAGCAACUUUACAUAUUGUCGUUCCUAAGGAAAUGCUUUUAGAAAGAAGUUGAUGAGUUUGAGAUAUAUGAUUUCAAAUUAUUGACAUAUGUAAAAAGUAAUUGUGUACAUUAGUUGCGUUACAUGAAUUUUAAUGUUAUUUGUAUAGUAGAAGAUUUAUUAUACAAUCCGAAUAAUUUAUAGGAUAAUAUAUAUUAACGGAUUUAUGUUCGUCACGGAUAAAAAUAUCUCUUUUUUGAUAAUAAUUUUUCUAUGUAUUUUUCUUCAACAUAUAUAUAUAUAUAUAUAUUUAAUGUGCACUUUAUAUAAUAAUAAAUAAUGAUUACUAUAUAUUAUAAAACUAAACAUUUGAAACUAAAAUAAAUAUUAAAAAUGUAAUGCUAUUUGUUAAAGAAUAGUAAAGUUUACUGCAAUUUUAAUUCAAAACGAAAAUAUUUAUUAUUAUGUUCUCAUAAUUCUUUCAUUAUUUGUUUGUUUAUAAUAUUUUUAUCUAUAAUAAUUUUUAAAUACUUCAUUAAUUAAUAUAAAAUAACUUUUAUUAGAACUUUCCGCCCGUAGGGCGGACCGACCCUAGUAUACAUAUAAAGAAAAUGACAUCUACACAUGUGAGUAUACACAUUUCUUACUCAAGCCAAGCAUUGACUACAUUUUAUUGUUUACAAAGAGUCUAGUUACAAGAAGUGUGUUCAAUUUUUGUCGUUGUUUUGUUCGUCAGUAGUGGAUUGCAACUCGCAAUUGGAUGACAUGGUUCAAGAAUUGAAUAAAAGUAUAAAACUAAUGACCACUUCGGUUUUGUUCGUCAGAUGAGGAUAAGUUUCAGAAAGCUACCUUAUCUGGUAAAUAUACUGACUAUGACUCUUAGCUUCAGACCGUUUUAUCUCUAAAAGUCAAGACAUCUAGUAUUGGAUUUGAACAAGACUUGUGUUGUUUUCAUUUGACUUAUAAGAGCUGCCAACACAUUCAGAAAAUUUCCCACGGGAAAUUUCCAACAGAUCUUUAUAUAUAAAGAAAGGUUUUUUCUCUCCUGGUGAAGCAACCUCAGCAUCCAGCCAGAUAAGUUGAACUCUAUGAGCAUGACACGUGUCACAAGAGAACAAAACGCUUAACUUCAUUUAGUCCCAAAUCUGAUUUUAUCGUGUUACGCUUCACCUCUUUUUAAAUCACCUCAUUCAUAAUGUUAUCGUCUCUUCCUUUUCCCAUUCCCUGAAACUAAACGUCUCCAUUAACGGAUAUUCUUCUGUUCAUGCUAUAAAGCUUAUCAACAACACCGCUCUUUUCACCACCUUGCUCAAUCCGCCGCCAUUGCCCCUACAGUCUCCGAUCUACCACAAAUGGUAAACCUAGCGUCGUCCUCCAGGUUUCGAACCCUUUCGGUAUAAAAGUUUCAGACUUUCAUCUCCAAUCUGACCCUCCAAGUCAGAGUCUCGAUGGGUUCUAUAGCCGGAUUCGCGGUUAAAAUUUACGCUGCUUCGGUAAUGUAUUAGCGAUAGGUAAGCCUCGGAUGUCUCCGGAGAUUUUCGAAGCUUUGAGUGCUAGAGGAAUUCAGAAACUCUUUCCUAUUCAGAGUUGUGCUUGAGCCAAAAAUACAAGGCCGUGCUAGGACGUGAACUAGAAAGACUCUUGCUUUUGAGAUUCAUGUCAUUGACAGAAUCAAAAAGAUCUACUCUAAACACGGGUUUGUCAAUCCUAAGAUUGUAUUUGCAUAUUUGAGGACUCAAAUAUUCACACUUUUUAUGGUUUUUGUGUAGAUUUGAUGUGUGAAAAGCUUGGGAAGAACCUUAUUUGUUUGGUUUUGGCUCCGACAAGAGAGUUUGCUGGUUAUGUUGAGAACGAAUUCAGAGAAGCUCUGUCUCUCGGUGAUGCACUAAACAGAGGAUUGAGCAACUGUCUGGAUACAUCAACAGCAGGUGCAGAUACAUGUCAGUGGAACACCGCUUCUGCAGUCUGUUCUUUGUCAAAGUGAAGCACGGACAAUCGUAUCCUGAUUGCUGAAGCAAGAGCAAUCCCUGUUGGGAAUCCUCUCUAUAUAUGAAAUUACGAAGAGCUGAUAUUUUUUUCUGGUGCAGUCACUUCGAUAGUUCAAGUUAGAGCGGGAACCAUGGAAGCAAGAGAAAACGCAGCAAUGACACUCUUUACACUUACGGUAGCCGGUGUAAACAAGAUCAUAAACGGCAGUGUGAUACUUGCUUAACUGGACCUUCUCGAUCACGGGUCCCCAAAAGAGAAGAAUGAUGCAGUGAUAGCAUUGUUCGAGCUGCUGCAGUGGUUAAGAUACCAAGUGUUGAUGAAGCUUGAACACGAUGUUGUUGUGCGAUUGGUGGAUCCAUCGAAGAACGGAACAUAGAAAGGGAAAAGGUAAGCUACGUCUUCGUCAGUGUUUCUGCACAUCAUGCCAAUUGUUUAUUAUGUUAAUAUUUUUUUCAGUCAAUUUUGUCUUUGGAUAGUAAUUCCAUUUGUGGAAUCAAAUCUGGAGUUAGUCAGCCAAAAGUGCUUUCCAGAAUCGCACUAUUUAGCUUGCUAUGUAUGUAUUUUCAUAUUUUGUUAUAUUUAUAACAGAAUGAAGGAGAAUAGUUUUGAA